rnacentral:rRNA from 1 species
GGAAACCGGAGCUAAUACCGGAUAAUAUAUUGAACCGUAUGGUUCAAUAGUGAAAGACGGUUUUGCUGUCACUUAUAGAUGGAUCCGCGCCGCAUUAGCUAGUUGGUAAGGUAACGGCUUACCAAGGCAACGAUGCGUAGCCGACCUGAGAGGGUGAUGGCCACACUGGAACUGAGACACGGUCCAG